rnacentral:lncRNA from 1 species
AUUGAAAUAAAAUUGAGAAUGGAAAUGGGGAAUGUGUCAAAGAGACAACAACCCGACCAAAUAAAAAACAACAGCAGAGGGUCACCAACAGGUCUUCAAUGCGAGAAAUUCCCGCACCCGGAGGCGUCCUUCAGCUGGCCCCUAAACAAAUAUAUACUAGUCCAGUGAUAAUGAACGCCAUACUAAUUUCCAAAUUGUACACAAG